ACUGGAUGUGUUACAUCGCUUGUAAUGAUUGGAAAAUCCGUUUGUACUUCGUGUCAGAAACAGCGCGAGCACUUGUAGUACAUCUGUACAUCAGAAAUAUACCGGGGCAUCACAUUACUGUCCGCAUCCACUGUAGAUAAUAUAUAUAAUGGGUUCUAUAUUGUUUUUUAUCGAGUCGCGCCUCGCCGCGCCACUCGCGUACGAGGAAGACACGGAAGCAGCGGGCAGCGUCGCGGGUUUUCCCGGGGAUGAACCUGCAAGAGUGGGAGAGCUCCGGAGAACAUCUGCGCUGUGUGUUGAUGCACCUUACGAGAGAAAAAGACCAGCAAGCAAGGCAACUGCAAUGAAGCAUCAAGAAAGACAUGGACAUGCCAGCCACCCUGAGACUGAUAAUUCAUGAGAAGACAUUUCUGUCAAAGUGGAUGGUGAGCAAAGAUGGUGGCCACGUUUUGGAGCAGCACCUGGGUUUUGCAGAUGGCUAUGUAUUCUUUGGCUGCUUUUCUUUAUGUUUCUGUUGCCUAAAUAUUCUUUGUGAGGAUAAAUCACAACAAAAUGCACUGCAAACCGUCCUAAG